rnacentral:rRNA from 1 species
GGACUACUGGGGUAUCUAAUCCGGUUUGCUCCCCUAGCCUUCGCUCCUGAUCGUCGAACCCGUUCUCGUCAGACGCCUUCGCCACAGGUAGUCCUCCUUAGAUUAUCACAUUUUACCGCUCCCUAAGGAAUACUUCUGACGCCUCCCGGUCCCAAGCUCUGCAGUGUUUCCUGCACGCCGUGCCGUUAAGCGACACGAUUUCACAAGAAAUUUACAAAGCCGACUACGAGCGCUUUAGACCUAAUAAGUGAUUCCCACUAAGGACGCCGGUGUUACCGCGGCUGCUGGCACCGGUCUUGCCCAUCCUUUAUUCCCACAGGUAUUUACCCUGUAGAAAAGCCCAUGGUUUCCAUGAGCACGCUGAGUUCCCCUAUCACACUUUCGUGCAUUGUAAAGUUUUCGCGCCUGCUGCCCCCCGUAGG